AGCAGUUAUGGAUCAUGAGAGCUAAGGUAGUGAUUGAAGAGAUAGAAUAGAGUGGAGGAAGCUGAUGAAUUGAGAGGCCAAGAAAUGUGAGAGGAUAUCAACCUGUAUACUGAAGUUCCCAAGUAUAGAGACAGGGCUAAGGAGAAGAUAAUGAAUUCCAUGAAAAAAGAGGGAGACCUGGAAGCUGGUUUUGGUUAUUGUUGUUUGGUCCUUUCUGUCUGACUCUUUAUGACCCCAUUUAGAGUCUUCUUGGCAAAGACUCUAAAGUGGUUUGCCAUUUCCUUUUCUAGCUCAUUUGACAGAUGAGAAAAUGGAGGCAAACAGGGUUAAGUGACUUCCCCAGAGUCACACAGCUAGUAAAUGUCUCAGAUAAGAUUUGAACUCAGGUCUUCCUGACUCUGGUGCUCUAUCCACUGUGCUACCUAGUUGCCCUGGAAGCUGGUAGAUGACUGCAACAAAUAUGAGAAACAGUGAUAUAGGAAAAUGGAGUGAAUUUCAAAAGAGGAAUGCUGAUUAUCCGAAGCAAAGGGCUGGAAAUGGUGAUGAGGAACAAGGAGUAUGCCUCCCUGGCCUCCUGGUCCAUUGAGUUGGUAGAAUAUGAGAGAGACAGUGUCUCAGGGUUUUUUCCUUCAUGGGAUUUUGAAUGAACAAAAGAGUAUUUAUUGUUUAGUGUAUACCAAUCACUGUGCACUGGGAUACAAAUAGAAAAGCUAAGAUGUCACAUGCUCUCUAGGAGUUCAUAUUCUAGUUGGGGGAGACAACACAUAAAAGACAGUUUAGUUAUAGAACAGAUAGAAAAAAACCCAGUAUUUUCCCCCCUCCCUAAGUCCUUACCUUCUUUCUUAAUAUCUGGUCUAAGACAGAGGAACAGCAAGGUCUAGGCAAUUGAGGUUGAGUGACUUGCCCAAAGUCACACAUCUAGGACAUGAAUAAGGCCAGGUUUGAACUCAAAUAUUGACUCUGAGCCUGGCACUCUCUCCUCUAUGCUGCCUAGCUACUCCUGCAUCAGUAAUUUAGAUGGCAGUGCUAGGGACUAGAAGACAUAAAGUCAGGGCAGGUGGUAAGGCAUGUUCAUCUUCCAUCUCUAAAAGGAAUAGAGUUAGUGACUCCCAACUCAUCCAAUUGGGGGAGGGAAUGAAGGGAAGACAAGUGAGGAAGGGUACACCUAAUGACAGUCUUCCCUCAUUUGAAUUAACUCAUAUCUUCCUAGGUGCAUGAAAGGAUACAGUACUCCAGAUGUGGUCCAGCCAGGACAGAAACCAGAAUUGGACAUGAUGUGCAGUUUGUUUUUGUAAGGGUAAACUCCUGGAAAUUUGACCUGAAAGAAAGAAAAAAUAUGUGGAACUCAAAGGGAUCGUUGGUUUUGCUGAGAGUUCCAGGAUGGAAGAAAGUAGCCUAAGAUAUCAUCAUUCCCAGUCCCUGGAGUUAUUGACUAGGACCUGUGUUCUAGUGUCUCAUCUUCCUACUGUUUCUGGGGACUACCAUUCUAUAUCUUUUCUCUAUUACCUAGUCUGUGGUUAGAUACUCCCAUCAUGCCUUUGCUUAUGAUUUUCUCUAUAUCUGAAAUGCCUUCCUUCCCAUUGAUUUCUUACCCAUUCUUCUAAUCCCAACUCAAAUACUACCUCCAGGUAGUCUUCCUUGAACUCUCCCUCUGUCUUCACUGGUGAUGGCUUCUGACUGGUAUUAAGACAUAUUGUUUUGCCCCUCUCUCAUGUACUAAUUAGGGCAGCUAGGUGGCACAAUAAAUAGAGUGCCUGGUCCAGAAUGAAGAAGACCUGAAUUCAAAUCCAGCUUAGGAUACUUAUUAACUGUGGGACACCAGGAAAGUCACUUGACUCUGCCUCAGUUUCCUCAUCUAUAAAAAAAUCUGGAGAAAGAAAUGACAAACCACUGUAGUAUCUUUGCCAGGAAAACCCCAAAUGGGGUCAUAAAAGAGUCAGUUAUGACUGAACAACAAUAAUAUAUGCUCAUCAUGUAAGCUAUCUACAUUGGUGCCUUAUCCCCCAUUACACUCUGAGCUCCACAAGGGCAUGGACUGUGCAUCAUCUCCCAGUGCCAUGUACAAGGUACAAUGAAAUGAAUGGUCCACAAGAAAUCUUACUACUAGAACUGGGCCAGCAUCUUCCAUCCUACUGUAAGGAGAAUUUGGCACAUGUACAAAAUAUCUCAGAUGGCUAUAUGUGGAGGCUGGACAUCCUGUUUCUAGAAGAGUUACCAUGAUGUAGAACAGAAGUAUCUUGGAGAGAUUGUGGAGAAAAUAUAGGCAUUCUGUUAGCAGCUCUUUGCUAACCAGUGUGAAUUUUAGAUUUACUCCACUCUGCUUAGUCUUUAGAAUUCUAGCAACCAGGAAUGUAUACACCCCUACUUAAGGAUUAACUGUGAGGAGGAUAGUUUAUGACUGACAUAUGCUAGCAAGUGACAAAUCAGAAACAACUGACAGACCCCCUGGGCUGUCUUAAGCCAAGCUUAAACUACCAGUGGUACAUGUGAGAUGCAGGAAGUGACACAAAGAACUGUCUAUAUAUUUCACAUCACUUCCUCUCUCUGCCUGCUUGCUCAGAGAUGUUGGGCUCUCUUGGAUCGUUUGGGAACUCCUGGUGGUAGUUUGGCGUUUGCAGCUUGGCUGUGAGGUUACUGGGAGAAGCUUUGUUGCAUGGUUUAGGUGAGGCAUCUUCCCUGAGCAACCUUGGUGAGUGGCUGCUGAUUCCUCCUUUCCUUUACCUCCUGAAAGCACUAUCCUCCAAGGAGACCCCUCAUCUUGAGGAGGCCUUGUGUAAAAAAUAGACUCGAAUACAGGACUACAAUCCCCACGAGCCUUUGCUCCACUUCCCCAGAAUGCCUUGUAAUCUCACCUGGGCCGAGAUCGAGAAGGUAUUUAAGCUGAUUCAAAGGCUUUUGAGGGCUCUCUCUUGCUCUCUUGUACUUCUGUUUUGGGGCAGGUGUGGCUUUUUUUCAUAAUGUAGGUGAGGUUGUGUCUAGGCCUCUCUAUGGCCUGUAUUUUCUUUAAUCCUUAAUAAACCUCUAAAAAAUAUAAUACUCCUUGCAGAGAGAAACUAAUUUCUACCUGCCUCAGUCUCCCCAGUCUCCAGUAUUCCUAAAUUUUAAUCUUUACAGUUUGGCGACCACUAGAUUGGAUGAGAACUUCUCAAAUUUUCUAGCCUAGAUAAUGAUUUUUUUUAAGCCAGUUUCUCCAAGAUGCCUUUUUAGAAAACCAUCUUGAUCAGCUCCUGCCUGUGGCCCUCUCCUGCUUCUGCAGCCUCUCACCUGGUGCCCAAGCUCCUGGCCCUGCUUGUCUUUUUUUUUUACCCUCCAAAAGCUGUUGAUCAGCUCCUGCCUGCCUGCCACCGCCAUCUGCUUCGGACAGCCGCUUCUCCUGGCCCCACCCCGGCUGCCUGCUCCACUCGGCUUGCCUGCGCUCUGGCUCUGGCCCCGGCCCAGCGGACUUUCUCUCGAUCACUUGGCCCACCUGAUUCAACCAAGAUUGUAAUCACCUGAUGACCUGGCUGCCCAACAAACUCAGAUCCUUGGCGGGUAACAAAACAGGGGUGGGGGUGGGGGUGUAUUGGCUCCACGUGGGUGGCCUGGGCUCCACGUGGACUGGGGCAGGAGGGAUCAUAUCAGGGGAGAGGGGAAAGAGAGACUAGAGAGAAGAAACAGAUCUUUUCAAACAGAAACCUAAAAAGCAAUGGGUUUAAAAGGAUACCUUUUGACUGUUCUGGUAAUAGCAUUGACUUCACCUGCAUGUCAGGGAGAAGAUUCAACUAACUUUGAAGGGGAAAAUGGGUGGCCCAGCGAACUGGGAGCCAGGCCCAGAGAUGGGAGGUCUCUAGUUAAAAUCUGGCCUCAGAUACUUCCCAGCUGUGGGGCCCUGGACGGGUCCUUUGAACCCCACAGCCUAGCCCUUACCACUCUGCCUUCUGACAAUAGACAUUUAAAUGGAUAAGAACCCAAGGAACUUUGAAGAGACUAAAGGCUAUAUUCUAAGGCAUUUCAGACUCCAAUGGUUUAUAAAAAAUCUCUGUAUUCUAUUGCAUUUUUUGUUAUGGUUUAACUUUGUGAUUUUAAGUUCAUAGAUUACUGGAUUCAAUAUUAUUCUGCUUGAACUGAAGGUUGAUUGAAUUUUAUUUUGAAUGUACUGAGUUUUGAAAUUCUGUUGUUUUUUCCCCUAUAACUGUGUUGAACAAAUAUUAUUGUGAAUAAGCCUAUAUAUGAAAAAACAGCCUUUUUCUAUUUUGCUGAGGAUAGAUGGACUUCAGAACUGGUUAUAAUUGUAUUAACAACCUUGGAAAUUUAAUGUGCUAAAUACCUCAAAUGAUUUUAUUUUAAGGGUUUUUUAAAUAUGAUUUUUGGAAUUUUUUUUAACAAUCUGGUUAUUUUUGCCUGCCCCUACCACGAGGUAAGGCCCAUUCUAGUAGCUGAAGUGAAAUGUAUUUUAUAAACCCCCAACCUUCCCACAUGUGAAUGGAAGUUGGGCAGUUGAUCUCAGGGCAUUUGUAUCCCUAUAAGCCUCCAAGAAAAAGGAGCAUCCCUUUGUUUAUGCUCUUCAGCUCACUAUUUUACUUCUACCAGAAUGAUAUAUAGAUUUCUUGAUUAUGUUCUAAACCCAAGAUGAGUUUUACUUUGUUUUAAAAAAAUAUGUUUAAAUACCAAGGUUGAAGGAUUGCUAUGUUUGUAAAGAUUGUGACAAAUGUCCAUCAAUUCAUAGGUUUUAAAAAUGUCAUACAGCAACUUAUGUGAAAUAUGAAAGUGUGUUUGUUUGCUAUUGUAAUUAAUUGGGCUAUUGAGAAUUUUGGGGAUUUUGAUAUCUACAUAUUUGUACUUCUGUAUUUUUAAAAAUGAAAAAUUGUUAACCUUGUUCAAUUCAUUUGCCUUCUACUCACAGUGGUCAUGGCCAGAUAUUAAGAGGAAAUGGAUCUCAUUUUUGGUGAGAAAGCCUUGAAUUUUAUAUUUUCUUAGCUGACACAGAGUGUCAAUGAUUAUAAGCUAUAUUUUUGAAUUUUUAAAGCUCUUUUAUUAUUAUAUUUUUCUUGCAUGUGCAAUAUACUUUUUCAGUUUUUUUUAUUAUUUUUCUCUCCUUUUUAUAUUUGAAGCACGUGUCACCAGCAUUAAGAUUUUCUUUAACUUUUUGACUUUUCAGUGCUACAAGUUUGAAAUACAUUUGCUAAUGCAUGCCCUAAAAAGCUUGUGACUAUAAAAAUGAUGCCACUAAUUAUUUAAUAAAUUAUGGGACUUUGCUUAAUGAUUCUGUCUGAUUCCAGGACAAGAUAUACACAAAAGAGCCACUGAAUAGUGCCAAUAGAGCAUAAGGUCAAAGAGACCAACCAAUUCUGGUGAAAUUGAUGUCACUUUGAGUCUAGACAAAGAGGACUUGAACGUGUUUGGGGUUCGAGGUUGCAGCUGUUUAACAUGUGUUAAAAGCAGGUCUUCCUUGUUUCACAUUCUACCAAGUACCUCAAACUUGGCUCCCAGAACCUUGGCUCCUAUAAUCUGGUCCCUUUCUUUUCUGCCUCUCAUAGCGUGGCAACUUUCUGUAGUCCUGGCUACUGACUGGGUAAAUGCAUCAUUGCUUAGAUCAUUUUGAUUGGGCCCUGAUAGAAGGACCUGUUAUAGAUUUAUUUUUCUUUUUACUUGGAAUUUUUAUACAUAAGACUUUGAUAGUCUAUAUUUUCAUCCAGAAAUUUUUUUCUAUAUUUUCAUCCAGAAAUUUUCUCUUUUCUUUUUGUUUUUUUUUAUGUCUUUUUAAUAUCUCUUGCCAAUUGAUUCAUAUACCUCAUACCUCAGCCAAGCAUCCCUAAGUGAUCCUUUUUUUUUUAAAAAUCACCCUCUUAACGGGGGGAAUGUAAAAAAAAUAUCAUUAUUUAAAUUGCAAAGUUUAAAUUCCUUUUGAGAAGAAUUUUAGGUAAAGAAGAUGUUACCUCUCUGAAUCCAGAACUGAACUGUUGGAGAAGCCACCAUGAAGAAGCGUCCAGACCACAAGUUGCACAAAAUUGAAUUUUGGGUGUGGUUGAUUGAACAUUUAUUUGUAUCUGUACUUUCAUGCCAAAGGGGACUGCCCCCUAACUGGCUUUUUGUCAAUGAGUUCAGCAAUUAUUGGUUUUAUUCUUUUGUUUCUCUUAUCCUCAAAUUAUUGUAAUCUUUAAAUUGAUUAUGUUUUCAUGAUCCUUUGGAAAAAAAUUAAUUUUUUCAAAUGAUCAAUGAGGGAAUGUAAAAAAUAGACUCGAAUACAGGACUACAAUCUCCACGAGCCUUUGCUCCACUUCCCCAGAAUACCUUGUAAUCUCACCUGGGCUGAGAUCGAGAAGGUAUUUAAGCUGAUUCAAAGGCUUUUGAGGGCUCUCUCUUGCUCUCUUGGACUUUCGUUUUGGGGCAGGCAUGGCUUUUUUUCAUAAUGUAGGUGAGGUUGUGUCUAGGCCUCUCUAUGGCCUGGACAUGUGUCUCUUAUCCUGUAUUUUCUUUAAUCCUUAAUCCUUAAUAAACCUCUAAAAAAUAUAAUACUCCUUGCAGAGAGAAACUAAUUUCUGCCUGCCUCAGUCUCCCCAGUCUCCAAUAUUCCUAAAUUUUAACUGUUACACUUGUGGCUGGAAGCUGAGCUAGAUUAAAUCUUUGGAAGAGGUCUUGUGGCUGAGGUCUCUGAAUUUCCCUUAGCUUAGGCUAGGCCUUUCCUCUCUCUCUCUUCUUCUUAAUUUCUUCCUAUUAUUGUAAUUAAACCACCAUAAAAAUCCCAAA